UACGGAGGAUGCAAGCGUUAUCCGGAAUGAUUGGGCGUAAAGCGUCCGCAGGUGGCUGUGUAAGUCUGCUGUUAAAGAGUCUAGCUCAACUAGAUACAAGCAGUGGAAACUACACGGCUAGAGUACGUUCGGGGCAGAGGGAAUUCCUGGUGUAGCGGUGAAAUGCGUAGAGAUCAGGUAGAACACCGGUGGCGAAGGCGCUCUGCUAGGCCGUAACUGACACUGAGGGACGAAAGCUAGGGGAGCGAAUGGG
rnacentral:rRNA from 1 species